rnacentral:misc_RNA from 1 species
UGGCUCUCGCAUCGAUGAAGAACGUAGCGAAGUGCGAUAUGUAAUGUGAAUUGCAGAAUUCCGUGAAUCAUCGAAUUUUUGAACGCAAAUUGCACUCUCCUCGGAGAGUAUGCCUGUUUGAGGGUCAGCCUAUAAAAAAUCGACAUCGUUGCUGUUUCGCGGUGACGUUCGUCGGAAAUUGGGUCAUCUUAAAUCCUUUUUGGUUUUAAGCGGCUUUAAAAUUUUCUUUUUUGGUUCCAUAAACGUUUCUAAGAUUUUAUUUCUUUACACGUUUAAGGUAUCGAUUUUUAUUAGACGUGACCAUCAUAUCGGAUCGCGUCCAUAAUCUUUCAUUAACUGACCUCAGACAGGUAAGAGUACCCGCUGA